rnacentral:rRNA from 1 species
UACGUAGGGGGCAAGCGUUGUUCGGAAUUACUGGGCGUAAAGAGCUCGUAGGCGGCUUGUCACGUCGGUUGUGAAAGCCCGGGGCUUAACCCCGGGUCUGCAGUCGAUACGGGCUAGCUAGAGUGUGGUAGGGGAGAUCGGAAUUCCUGGUGUAGCGGUGAAAUGCGCAGAUAUCAGGAGGAACACCGGUGGCGAAGGCGGAUCUCUGGGCCAUUACUGACGCUGAGGAGCGAAAGCCAGGGGAGCAAACGGG